AAAGAGCUACCCAGAAGUUUAUUUCAACACCCCAUGGAUAUCAAGAGCCCAUAUGAAUCUUGCCAUACAAAAUAUCUCCAUUCAAGAAAAUAGUAAAAGCUCAUAGACUUCUUGAAGGCUGCUUUUCCUAGAAAAGGCUCAUCUACGUAACCCCUAUUCAGCAAAAGCUGUAUUUUUGAGGGAGAGGUUCUUGAAUGUUGUUUGUUGGCUGCCAGAACUGGGGAUUCAGUCACCGCUCCCUGGAGACAAGGGAAAGAGUGCUCCUAUGUAAACUGAACACCUGCAGUCAUUUACAGUGAAUUCAGGGAGGAAGUGUGGAAAAAGGUAAGGGAAAUAGCAAAAUCCAUUUUAACUACUGUAACUGCUUUAAUUUUAUCUUUGCAAUAUAUCAAAACAUAAAUAUAAUGUCUGACUUAAAGCCCUUGCUUAUAUUGCUUCUGUGGAAUAGUUACAAAACUCAGCCUCAGAUAAACCUUUUCUCCUCACUCUAAUGCGAGAGAUGAGAAUAAGUAUGCUGCACAGCUGACUGAAGCACAGUCAGCUGGUACAUCUACCCAUGCAGUACUGUUACUGCUUAUUUAUUUGAUCAUGUGGUUAAUACUGUAACAAAUACACCACACUUUUGCAUAGUGGGUUUUGCACUAGGGAGCCACUAUAAAAAAAACUAAUUCAGACUUGAUGCACUACCCCAGGCAUUGUAAACUUUAUUUUACUUACAAGAAUACUCUGAUGAUAUUUCAUAAGUGAUAGUUUUUUAUUUCUUUUAGAGAGAGUAAUAUUAAAUAGGAAAGCUGUUUUGCAAUAAACAAAUGGAAAAAGUACUGAGAAGUGAAUGUAGAACCUCAGUGCAGAUAGAGUGUAUAUAUGAGUAAACACUGUGAAUGGAAUGGCAAGAUGAAGGCUUCAGAUAGCAAGCAUAAAGAAAUGAAAGAGAUGUGGAUAGAAAAGCUUUUUGAAGCAUUAUCUAGAUUGAAUUAGGUUGGCUUAAAAAGAUUUCAUGGUAUGGUACCUCCUACAGUGGGCCCUGUUCAACGAAAAAACAAGAUGAAGAUUUUUCAGGAGGGAACAGGAAAAAGUGACAUAAUGAAGAAGGAGUGUGCCUUACCUCAGUGGAGAUGAGAAUACAUCACCCAGCUUUAAACCUGGAUUUGCCAGAAAAUUUAUGUAUGCCAGACACUUGCAUGGGCUCUUUGCUCUGGAAUACAUUUUGUCUGAAGGAAAAAACGUUCUAAGACAGCACAAAGCUCUAAUUACAACCCUGACAGCUUCAAGAUUUUAUCUCGGUUUAAAUGCUACACUGGUGAUCCAGUGACAGCAACACUGUUACUAGCACUGUUAAAUGCUAAGUAACUUAAUGGCUGGUUGUUCUCUUAAACUUGUGUUUAUCUGCUUAGCUUGGAUUAAUGUAUGUUUCUGAUUGAGAACUCACUUUGUGAAAGUGGCUUUUGUGUUGUCUUCUGUGGGUUGUCAUGGCAAUAUAGGCUUAAUAUUCCACUAUUUGGUGACUUUUGAUAAUCAUCACUGUUCUUCAAAUAACUGGAAACCUUGGAAUAUUAGCACAUUAGAAAUAUUCUGAUAGUAAUUUUUAAAAACUCCUGAAUAGUUUUACAUGUUUUAAAUAAAAAAAAACAAACAAUCCCAAUGAGGCUGCAGCUGACAGAUGUCCAGAAGUCAAACUACUGGGGAACACAGCGGAGGAAUUUAGAGGUGGUUUUUUCUUUGGUUUGGUUUGGUUUGUUUUAAACACAGACAAAUUACUUGUUACUUGAGAGGGAAGAGAAACAAAGUCAAGAAAUAAAAAAAGGAAGGGCACAGCUCACAAUAAUGAAGUGGAAUAAAGUUCAAAGACUUACACUUAAAUAUCAAAAGACAGCAGGAAUAACUAAGCAGGGAGCGAGGACCAAGUAAUUUAUUUUUUUUUUUUUAAUCAAAGCAUUAAAACCAGUUACCUUUUGACACUAUUAUUUUUGCUAAAGUGGAGAACUAAGUAAAGAAAAACACUAAUUGACUCACUUUGAGCCAAAGCAGUGACAAUGAAGACUAGUCCUAACAUUCCUCACCCAAAACAAUGACAGUCCUGUCUCACUUUUGUUCCUGAGUUCAGUACACAAAGCCAUGGUGUGGGAUUUCCAGCUCUGAGCUUUUCCUCUGAGCUGAACCUCCCUCUCUGUUAGUGGUGUGUCCUAGGGAUUCUGCUAGCAAGUAUUUUGGGAUGAAUCUUGUGACAUUGAGCCUGCCCUGCCUAUGCAUUUAUUCAACCAGUGAGCAAGGAUGAGUUCAUAGCAUAUUAAUUAGGGCAUUCAUUUGUUAAAAAAUCUGGAUUCUAUUUGCUUCUCCAUGAAGAUUUAAUUAUCUUACACAAAGUGGAACGGCAAUAAAACAACAGACUGGAGAACAUUGUGCACAGAAUAAUGGUGGGAGGAAGGGGAUGGUGUUCAAAUGGACAGUCAUGGAGCAGUGUGCCCUGGAAAGUGACAGUGUGCUUCUCAAUCUGCCUUAGCAAGUAAGGCAACA